UACAGAGGUGGCAAGCGUUGUUCGGAAUUACUGGGCGUAAAGGGCGCGUAGGCGGUCUUGUAAGUCCCGUGUGAAAUCCCUCGGCUCAACUGAGGAACUGCACGGGAAACUGCUUGGCUUGAGUUCGGGAGAGGGAAGCGGAAUUCCGGGUGUAGCGGUGAAAUGCGUAGAUAUCCGGAGGAACACCGGUGGCGAAGGCGGCUUCCUGGACCGACACUGACGCUGAGGCGCGAAGGCCAGGGGAGCAAACGGG
rnacentral:rRNA from 1 species